AUAUAUAUACACGAGAGAAUCACGGAUCUUCCGUUUCAUGUUAAAUGUCUCUGCGAGCUGUUCGCGAGACCAGAAUGGUUUCCGCGAGCAAAAAUAAACUGCGGGUGUUGACUGGCAUUUUUACCAGUGCCUUUUAUCCCGGUUAGAAGAUAUAGACUACUUGGAAAAGGUUGAAUGGAUUUUUUUCGAGGAAAUAUCAAAAAUAUUUCGAUUCAAUGAUCUAUUAUAUACAAGUGGUUGAACAUGAGUACACUUAUUGUCGUCUGUUUGUUUCACCGAGAACUUGAUGGCAAAAUUAGUCGAAUGGAAGUCGGUCAACCGAAAUGCAGAUUACCAGUAUUAUUCUCACAACGUAAAUAGACACUGGGAAGCCAGGUGCGAGCCACAGUCGUUUUCGCGGCAGUUAAUCGCGAAUGGAAAUUGGAACAGUUUGUCGGAUCGGUAUUGACCCUUUUCCUGUCUCUUUUUCAUUCAUUUCAUACAGGUGCAAAAAUGAUUCGUAUUGUACUGAGUAUAUUAUAUCAUUUGAUGUAUUAUUGCAAUUUUUUGUGCUUACAUUCAAAACUUUGAAUGAUAGUAAACAUUCAGACGUUAAUUUCUGAAAAUAUUAUGUUUGAUUUAAUAUUUAUCAACAUUUUUCUAUUUAAUACGACCUAUAAAUAAAUCGCUUUUAUAACUUUCUCUAAUUUUCCAAAUAGAUUCCAACAUAAUCUUCAAGUUUAUAUCUCGAGUAUAUCUGAACGCAAGGCCACAAACUGAGUAUGAUUUAUGUUAGUUUAACAUGAAUUCCUCGCGUUUUCUUAACGUUCUAAGAAAGUGUUGAGAAAAUGCGGCAUAUUAUGUAACGUUACGUAUAAUUACUGUUUGGUCACAUCACAUAUGUUAAACCGAAUAUGUUGCGCACCUUUAGAGUUCGUUUAUACGAUGGAAAAGACAAAUGUUUGUCGAGUAAACCGAGCACGAUAUAUACCUGGCCUCUCGGACCACGACGAGCCAGCCACUGUGGAUAUUUUCUCUCUUCACGUGUCCAGUUCGUUUUCAACGAAGAAGAAGAAAUCAGCUAUAGAAACCGGGCGAGUUUCGCUCCUUAUGAAUGCAG